GUGCCAGCAGCCGCGGUAAUACGUAGGGGGCAAGCGUUGUCCGGAAUUAUUGGGCGUAAAGCGCGCGCAGGCGGUUCCUUAAGUCUGAUGUGAAAGGCCACAGCUCAACUGUGGAGGGCCAUUGGAAACUGGGGAACUUGAGGACAGAAGAGGAGAGCGGAAUUCCACGUGUAGCGGUGAAAUGCGUAGAGAUAUGGAGGAACACCAGUGGCGAAGGCGGCUCUCUGGUCUGUUACUGACGCUGAGGUGCGAAAGCGUGGGGAUCAAACAGGAUUAGAAAC
rnacentral:rRNA from 1 species